GGGCAUUUGGCACAGUUGGUAGCGCGUACGCUUCGCAUGUCCCAUCCGUCGAGUGUAAAUGCGUAAGGUCCAGGGUUCAACUCCCUGAGUGUCCA